GAUGAACGCUGGCGGCGUGCCUAAUACAUGCAAGUCGAGCGAAUGGAUUAAGAGCUUGCUCUUAUGAAGUUAGCGGCGGACGGGUGAGUAACACGUGGGUAACCUGCCCAUAAGACUGGGAUAACUCCGGGAAACCGGGGCUAAUACCGGAUAACAUUUUGAACCGCAUGGUUCGAAAUUGAAAGGCGGCUUCGGCUGUCACUUAUGGAUGGACCCGCUUCGCAUUAGCUAGUUGGUGAGGUAACGGCUCACCAAGGCAACGAUGCGUAGCCGACCUGAGAGGGUGAUCGGCCACACUGGGACUGAGACACGGCCCAGAAUCCUACGGGAGGCAGCAGUAGGGAAUCUUCCGCAAUGGACGAAAGUCUGACGGAGCAACGCCGCGUGAGUGAUGAAGGCUUUCGGGUCGUAAAACUCUGUUGUUAGGGAAGAACAAGUGCUAGUUGAAUAAGCUGGCACCUUGACGGUACCUAACCAGAAAGCCACGGCUAACUACGUGCCAGCAGCCGCAGUAA
rnacentral:rRNA from 1 species